UGAGGGCACAGGCUCGGGAGUUAACAGGAAGCUGUUACUACCCCACGCCCAGGAAUGCUUCUGAGAGCCCAGGAAGCUGCGUGAGGCCCACGCUGGGAUCUAAGGUCCGCCUGGAGCCUCCUCAUCCUGUCUGCAAAGCCCCUUCUUACUCCUCCCCCGCUCGAGCUGGGGUUUCUGCCUCAGAUCCACAAGGAAGAUUUACAGAACCCAGUGUGGGACACCAGGAAAUUACACUGUGACGAGGAUGCAAGGUGACAAGCUGUGAUGCCUAUCCCUCCUCCUACAUCCCUCCAUGCAGCACUCUCCCUGAGUUCCAGGCGGCUUGUCUGAAUCGUCUUGUUUAACCCACACUGCAAUCCUGCAGAGGGAAAACUGUUAUGCUCAUUUUACAGAUGAGAAAACUGAGGUUAAGUCACUUGCUGCAGUCAGGAGCUAGUAAGUGGAGGAGGUGGCAGUCGAAUGCAGGCUGUUGUUGGAAGAUCCGUGAUCACUACACCAUAGGGGCCUGCUUCUCCUUGCAGCUCCCCACUCGGUGGGAGUUUGCUGGGAGCAGCCUUCUAGGUCCGAAGGACAGAAUCCAUGGCACCAAGUGAAAUUAAGGAGCUGCCCACCCUGGAAUAGCAGGUGGAAUACAACCCAAAUUGUACCCAUCAGGCACUGGUACUUAGGCCCUAAAUUCAAGAGCUUUCACUUCCUCUUCCUGGGCAAUAUUGAGAAUUAGUAAAUAAAUGGCCCCAGCCCUAACCCAUGUACACCUCUGUGCUGACCCGAUUCAGUCCGGGGUAGAUAAUCUAUGCCUUUUCCCCACAGUCAUGCAUGUGGACUCCCCUUUGUAGAGCUUCUAAAACAGCCUUGACUGCAAAUAAAUUAAUUCUCAGGGGCAGCAAGAACUGGGCCCUAAUAUCUUUUCGGGCCCUCAUUUUCAGAGCCGAUGCUG
rnacentral:lncRNA from 10 species